rfam:Heterorhabditis bacteriophora unplaced genomic scaffold Scaffold563, whole genome shotgun sequence.
AAUGCUUCUCGGCCUCUUGGCUAAGAUCAAAGUUCAAGUGCUGUUCUUAUCGAAUUGACCUUCGAUAGAGACUCAGAUGAGUCUUGAUAAGGUUAUUUGAUUUGUGGAGCUGGGUAAGAUCAAGGGUUUUCUCCUACUUGCCACGGGUUGUCCCAUCGGUGCAUUGCUGCUGGGAAACUUCCUUCCCAAU